AGAAGUGGGAUGGAAUUACAGCCCACGCCUGGGAAACCGCCUGAAUUCGGCAUCCCGAGUACUCCUGCCGUCCACUUUCAAGCACAGGAGACCUGAAAAUGGCUUAAAGGGACCAUGUUACAGGACACGAUUGAUUAGCAUGUGACUUGCCUAGAAAAGGAGCUCACAUUGGAGAAUUUAAUUCCGCUGAGUGGUGAGCUGUGACUUCUUGCUGAUGAAUGGUUUUUCCAGAGCACUUUCCAUUUAAAAAUAUGAAACAAUAAAGAUUAAGUACAAUUGCAACGACCCUCAUUUUUCAACUCGCAGAACUCUCUUGACCUGCCCGUGUCUUCAUUAUUUUAUCUGGAAAGCUUUAUCAAGCAAAAGCAUGUUUUUUGGUUUGUUUGUUUUUGUUUUGUUUUUAAGAUAUUGUGAUUUUCCCAUGGAUUCCUGGAUGAAAGCAUAUACCAAACAUUUCCUUAUUGCCACCAUGCAAAGAUUAACCCCUCAGCAGAUGCCCUCAAGCUGUCUGUAUUGUAGGCGACGGUUCAUCUUGAUGGAACUCGGAGUCACAGUGGAAACAAACCAUUGGGCUUGCCUGGCAAGGAGUUCUGAGAUGGGGGUUCAUUGAGGUGGGGAUCCACUGGAUAUCUGUAGGCUUCCACUGUGUGGAAGGGAUUUCAUGACUGAAUAAAAGGGUGAAAACAAACCGA